rnacentral:rRNA from 1 species
GUCUCAGUUCGGAUUGAAGGCUGAAAUUCGCCUUCCAUGAAGCCGGAAUUGCUAGUAAUGGCAGGUCAGCAUACUGCCGUGAAUACGUUCCCGGGCCUUGUACACACCGCCCGUCACACCAUGAGAGUUGGGAAUACCCGAAGCCUGUGAGCUAACUUUUAGAGGCAGCAGUCGAAGGUAGAAUCAAUGAUUGGGGUGAAGUCGUAACAAGGUAGC